rnacentral:rRNA from 1 species
GACGAACGCUGGCGGCGUGCUUAACACAUGCAAGUCGAACGGAAAGGCCCUGCUUUUGUGGGGUGCUCGAGUGGCGAACGGGUGAGUAACACGUGAGUAACCUGCCCUUGACUUUGGGAUAACUUCAGGAAACUGGGGCUAAUACCGGAUAGGAGCUCCUGCUGCAUGGUGGGGGUUGGAAAGUUUCGGCGGUUGGGGAUGGACUCGCGGCUUAUCAGCUUGUUGGUGGGGUAGUGGCUUACCAAGGCUUUGACGGGUAGCCGGCCUGAGAGGGUGACCGGCCACAUUGGGACUGAGAUACGGCCCAGACUCCUACGGGAGGCAGCAGUGGGGAAUAUUGCACAAUGGGCGGAAGCCUGAUGCAGCAACGCCGCGUGCGGGAUGACGGCCUUCGGGUUGUAAACCGCUUUCGCCUGUGACGAAGCGUGAGUGACGGUAAUGGGUAAAGAAGCACCGGCUAACUACGUGCCAGCAGCCGCGGUGAUACGUAGGGUGCGAGCGUUGUCCGGAUUUAUUGGGCGUAAAGGGCUCGUAGGUGGUUGAUCGCGUCGGAAGUGUAAUCUUGGGGCUUAACCCUGAGCGUGCUUUCGAUACGGGUUGACUUGAGGAAGGUAGGGGAGAAUGGAAUUCCUGGUGGAGCGGUGGAAUGCGCAGAUAUCAGGAAGAACACCAGUGGCGAAGGCGGUUCUCUGGGCCUUUCCUGACGCUGAGGAGCGAAAGCGUGGGGAGCGAACAGGCUUAGAUACCCUGGUAGUCCACGCUGUAAACGGUGGGUACUAGGUGUGGGGUCCAUUCCACGGGUUCCGUGCCGUAGCUAACGCUUUAAGUACCCCGCCUGGGGAGUACGGCCGCAAGGCUAAAACUCAAAGGAAUUGACGGGGCCCCGCACAAGCGGCGGAGCAUGCGGAUUAAUUCGAUGCAACGCGUAGAACCUUACCUGGGUUUGACAUGGAUCGGGAGUGCUCAGAGAUGGGUGUGCCUCUUUUGGGGUCGGUUCACAGGUGGUGCAUGGCUGUCGUCAGCUCGUGUCGUGAGAUGUUGGGUUAAGUCCCGCAACGAGCGCAACCCUUGUUCACUGUUGCCAGCACGUUAUGGUGGGGACUCAGUGGAGACCGCCGGGGUCAACUCGGAGGAAGGUGGGGAUGACGUCAAGUCAUCAUGCCCCUUAUGUCCAGGGCUUCACGCAUGCUACAAUGGCUGGUACAGAGAGUGGCGAGCCUGUGAGGGUGAGCGAAUCUCGGAAAGCCGGUCUCAGUUCGGAUUGGGGUCUGCAACUCGACCUCAUGAAGUCGGAGUCGCUAGUAAUCGCAGAUCAGCAACGCUGCGGUGAAUACGUUCCCGGGGCAU